AAAACAGGGAUUAAACUGUUGAAACGGAAAACAGACUGUUUCCUCUUGUCCCUAUCUUGGAAUCUUUGUAAAAGACGGGUCCUGUCCCAAUGUGAAAUAUGCCAACGAUUCUGUAUCGCUUGAGGUUGUUUUAGAGACCAACAAGAAUAUCUCCUUCCUGGGAAAGGAAGACAAAGUAGCUAUGCAGAAGAGGACCUCAAGCUUGUGCCAUCCUCUUUUGGAGCUUCAUUUCCACAAUUCAGAGCUUGCCUUCGCUCUCCUGGGCAAAGUGAGACAAUUCGGAGAAGACAUGCAACUCGGACUGGCCGCAGAGAUCUAGAAGAAGCUAAGAUAUUUCUACCUAAUUUGUGGCAUUCCUUAAAGAAUUUGGUUUGUGUAGGUUUCAGUGCACAAAGUGUACGAGCAUGGGAGAGGAUGUAUUCAACUCCAGAGAACAGAAAAGGACAGGAGAAAACUAUCUGUUGUAGAUAUAACCCUCUUCCUAAUUUGGCUCAGCUCUUCCUCAUAUGGUGAAAUUACCAGAAAAGCCCCUUAUUUAUUCCUGAAUGCAGAAUAUCCUGAUUUCCCUCCCCUAAAGGUAAAAUGGACUAGAGUAAAAGAAAGGCUAAAGGAGUGUGUUACUUCGAGUUCACAGCUGCUUCUCUAUCCAGCUGGUAGUUUUUGAUCCUGAGUUCAAUGCCACAUCCAAGUGACUUGCAAAUGCAUGACAAUCCUUUAAUGAUGACAGGGAAAACAUGUACUGACAAUAUGGAUUAGGCGAAAGAGAGCGCUUCAUCACCCACCUAUAAAUGGCUCCUGUGGGCAGCAGCUCCUGUCUGUGCUGAAUAUAAAGUACCAGAUAGCAGAGAGGUACUCUACGGUAGGUUCCUACAAGAAAUGCCCUUGUAGGGGCAGUGGGGUAGGAGGAAACGCAUGGUCAAGAGUAAUGGGGCGUUGUAAGAAAGGACUGUGAUUGAGGGGCUGGCAUUGUCUCUCUUUGGUUGUGUCUCACGGAUUUCCAGACUGGAGCUUGCUCUUUAAGAGAACUGCCUUCAUUGUGGAUUUUCUGCACUAAAAACUGGUUAUUAAGCAAUUUUGCUCUCAGCUGCUUUGCAAACUGUUGCCAUAUUGUGUAGAAAGCGCACUCCAUACUCCUGGGUUACUUUGAAGGCACUUCUGGCAGGCUGAGGGCAGGUACAACAAGCCAGACAGGACUGAAAAAAGAUCAGGAGUCCGGAUGGACGUACAGUAACAGCUCCUCCAAAUCAGAGCUGAGGAAGUACGGGGUGAGGAGGAGGUGUCGCUGCUUGGCAUUGCCAAGGUGUAAUCUGUCUCUGUCCUAGUUGGCCAGAGUUCAGUUGCUGAUGGAUUGCUUGGCAACUUUUGCACAUUCAUAUUAACUUCAUAAAGAGCAGUGUGUACAGAGUGUGAAAUGCAAAACUGGUAGUGCCUGACACAAAUGAAUACUUUCCCUGUUCUGUGGAGGUUUCAGUGCAAAACCUCUUUCUCCAUUCAUCUUCCUCUUGCCUCUUCACCCCCCACCCCCUGCUACCUAGAGAGUCCUGUGAACAAGCCUAUUGGCAGUAAACUCAGCUCAACAAAACAAUCUUGUGAAAAGGGAAAAUAUAACAUGAUCACUUCCUAUUUCUUUCUCCUUUCCUCUGCAUCAAAGUCUGGGCUGGCUGUCAGGAAUGUUCAAAAUGAAUAAAUACAGCGCAGGAACCCCCUGCUUCAGAAGGAGUCUCAUUCACUCGCCAUGAAGCUUGGCUGAUUCUUUUUCUGACAGUACUCAAGUCAGCAGGCAGAGCAAGAAGAUCAUUCAAAGCUAAUCAGUAAAGUGUAAACCUAUUAUGAAAGCACAUUUACCCCUCGCCUCCUCCUUCCUCCAGAAAACCAAUCCCCAAAUCUGUGGGAAUAACACAUAACGUACAUAAAAGUUGCUAUUACUUAGAUCCCCUGUUAUUUAGGUCAGCAAUGCCACUGAUGAAACGCUCCCCAGAGCACUGAGCAGAGGCGCAUAAAUCCUCCAAGAAAUUCAGAGCAUAAUUUGUUACAGCUAGAGGGCAUAAGAUACAUUACAGCAGAGCCUGUGUAUUAGGCUCUCCCCUGUGACUCUGGAGGCUAUCUCUAGUAAUAAAAACCUCAUCUUGAUUUCUGAUUCUCUAUAUUGAUUUCUGCACAAAAAGACUUUUCUUACACAAAGAUAGUACUAUAUUGUUCUAUAUAAUAAUGGGAUCCUCCCACCCAUGUGCUUUUUUUUCCUUCUCUUCCCUAUUUAGGGAUGAAUCUAAGGAAGAUUUGUAAUUUGGGGACUCUUGAACUUCUGUCUUCGUAAGAAGCUGUCUUGGAUUCUGAAGUGACUGAAGCUAUGCCUGUUCCCUUCUGCAGAGAAAGUGUGUGCUCCAAGUGAGAAUUCCAAAGGACCCCUGCAAAGACAAAAAGCUUCUAUCAAAAGUUUGGCCAGCUUACAUUUAAGAUCUGCUAUUCGAUGUUUUUCCAAGCUUGGACCAGGUUCCAAAAAUCACUAACAAGUGCCAAGCAAAUUUGGUUUCAAAACAUACACCGUGGUUUUGCACGCUAUCCAAAGUAAGCGCAGAAGCCCCAUUCAGGAAAGCAAUUCACUGCCUUCCCCACAUCUGCACUGUGACUCGCACCAUGGAAAAGGAACUGGUGAAGGCCACCGGUGAGAAACUGUUCAGAAGGAAAUGAGGAGAGCAGUCUGCUUUUAAGAGGCAGUUCUACAUGCUCUAUUCUUGGGUAUGUUGCCUGAUGAUGUUGCCUUCACUAAUUUCUCGGUUUUCACAGAAGUCGAGUGUUUCCAAUCUUCAACAGCAACUAUUUUCAAGUAUGGCACAACUACUGUUAAUAACUAUUUACUUGCAUUUCACCUUAGAGUCCCAGUGUCUCUCUUCUUAAUGUUAAAGGAACCUCAGAAUAGCGAUCUCUAGUAGACUUGAUGCCACCUUCUCAAUGCUCCUUUGCUCAGAAACUAGAGGAGAACCCAUAAGGCCUGGUUUCCAGCUCAUGAUCUAGAAAAGAAAUCCGCUUCCUUAGGCGUUUUUACACUUAGCUAUCUGCUUUGCUACAGUAGUGCUCAAGAGACUGCUUGUCUUAGAAGUUACCGUCAGAGUACUAUCGUCUAGAGGUACCGGUACCAGCACUGCUAUGGAGUAGAUGAGCCAGCCAAGGUCAAGGUGAUUCUUCUGUCUGCACUUACUACCACAGUCAAGUCUGUGAACAGAUACUAUAUUACAGCAUAGAGGACAACCUACUGGAUUUUCUAACUAGAUCCUCACUGGGGAGGAGGUGGGGAAGCCUUGUUUUAUUCACAACUAUGUUUUUCAGCAGUUCCUGGCAGCAACAUGAAAAGAAAGGUGAUAUGGGAAAGAAAUCUGGGAACAUGCGAAAGGCAAUGGAAGAGUAUAUCCGUGAGCAAAGGUAUGGGUGGUGAAUGCUGAAGGCUUCCUAGGGGGCAGGGAGGACCCCUCUCUUCUCUCCUUUGGAUGUGAGGCAGUAGGGGAUGGGAUGAAUGUUCUGGCCUGAGGCAGCUCAGUGUGAGACAGACCCAGUUAUCAUUAGCCUACUGGGGCCAACCUGCUGAGGAAGGGUACCUGCAGUCAACGGAGAAAGACAGGCUCCUCUGCAGGAUGAACCUCAAUGGUGAAGGGUGAGGUUUCAUGAGAUGGCUCAUCAAAUUAACAGCUCAUUGACAAGGGAAGGGGGCAGCACCUCUGCUUCCACCCUGCUGCUGGAUGUGUGGUUCCUCCCUUCUCCUGCACAGGCUCUGGGACUCACCUGACCCUGCAGUGGACCAGUUCAGCUCUCUAAGAAGUGGAAAAUAAUCCCCUUUAUCUUUCUUCUCUUCUUCCCACCCACCUCAGAUUAAAUCUCUCCCAGCAUAAUGAAGUGAAUCAGCUAACCAAGGAGGCAGCUGAGUGCCAGAUCAUUGUAAGGGAAGCAGCAAGUGUGCGACCGGAGCAAUAUGGAUGGCAGGAUGGCCAGUGUGGUGGUGCAGAUGGGAUGGAGUCACUUAGUCAUCCUUGAACCUUUGUCCUCUGCUCGGCUCUUCCUCCAGUAACUCCUGAGGGAGCCUACAGUGAUUAGCUACCACUAACUGUGUAUUUGCUACCAGCCUAUCUUUCAAUAUCAGUACCAAAGCCAGACAAGGUAAGAACUGUCUGAACUUGUAAGAACUUGCACCCAUGAGCAAGACCAGAAGUAGGAAGUUCUUAUCUCUUAGUGAACUAGCACAGAGUAUGUCUACACACGAGUUCAGAGGUAUAAAGCUAGUGUGGACACAGUCCAGGUAGCUCUAAAGCAGCUGGCACAGAUGCUGACAGUUAUAGAGCUACAGAAUAUGCCCUAGUCAGCAAAAUACAGCCAAGGACCUGAGUAAAUAUUUGUGCAGCUACUUGUCUCAGCUCCAUACAGUUAUCAAUAAAUCAGCUCAUAUUAGUGUAUGAGCUGCAGUCAAAGCCCUGAGACUGAAGUACAGAUAUAACCUUGUAGAACAUCUCACAGAAAGAAGCUCUGUUGAUUUGCCCUUCAUGUUUUUCUCAUUUUCAUUUCUGAAGGCUGUUCUAUUAAAACAAACAGGUACUGCUCCUACCAAGAAGAGUCCAAUCACCCACCUUCAAUAACCCACAAAAGAAAGGAAUGAAAAAGAAGGGAGAAUGAUGAUAAGACUACACUCUCAUUAGACUGCCUUCUCUUCUAACCCUAUUCCUUUCUUGUUACUAAUAUUUUCUAGAUUAAGAUAUAGUCAUUACUCAUGUGGAAAAGGGUUUAUUUACAUGUAGGAAAAGGCUGUUGCUGAUGUGAAAUAUGCUGUUGUUUGAUUGCUUCUAUUGCAGGGAAAGUGGAGCUGGUUCAAACAUAGGUUUGAUAAGCCAGGUUCAGAAGGAAGAGGGUAGGUGUUGGGAAGGAGCCAACAAGAUAGUAUGACAUGGCAGGUACGAAAAGACACUUGAUCCGAGUGGGAGUCAGUGCUGGCUGGCAAGCUGUUGUGAUGAGUAACAGAGAUGCACGUUAAUAACAAAUGACAUCCUUUGAAGCUGGCCUAGCAAUGAACAGGCAAUUGCCAAAUGGGGGGCUCCUCUAGUGCAAAGUUUUGGCAAUAAUGCGCUUCAGCUCAGAUGGGUGAGGGAGAGCAUGAAAUGAAGAGCAGAGGUCGUUGUGAUAAAUGAGUCCUGAAGGAUUCAUGGCAGUCUAAUGUGGAACAUACGUAAUGCUCCUUGUUUGGGUGAAGACCAGGAGGCCUACACAUGUAAGGAAUUGAAAGCUGGCUUCUGUUCUGGGGGAGGAGGCGGCGGCGGCAAGUGUUGAGCAGCAGUGAAAAAUCUUGCCAUGUACACUUGAUCUUAAAUAAAACAUUACAGGUGAAUGUACAACUAGCCUGACUUUCCAUUCUGUUACUUUGAAAUCAAUGCAGUUGUGACAACCAAAUAUGAAUUGAACUGGGUAUGUCUCAAGAUCUUUCCAAGCAAAUUCCAGAUGGCUGGACAUGAAAACUGACCGAAGAACCAAAGAGAAAAAAGAUAACAGGAGCAGAGCUUUGAAGAACACAUGUGGCCAAAAAAGGCUCUGGUCAUCUGAAGAUGCAUGAGUAAAAGAGAAAUGGCAGAAAGAGUGUCAAGAGGGAUGGCUGCUGGGAGUGGAUGGUUCCAAACAGCUCCAGCAGAACCUGUGAAUUGUGGUAUUGCAGAGAAUUUAGGCUUCAUGAAAAUGAAAGACUCAUCAGUAGAAGGAAGGAGAAAUUCCCCAUGCGUUCCAGGAUUUGGGAUGAAUUCUUUCCCUGGAGACCACAGUAAAAGGAAUGAAUUCCUUGAGAUGCUCUGGAUUUCAGGGGGAUGCCAGAACGAACAACUGAGGUCAUAAAAAUUGGAAUGGAAAAACAGCAUGUAGAUCUGCUUCAUGAAUGUUGCUCGAAGACGGCCUUGACGAGCCCUUUCUGCAACCUGGAUUGUUUUAAUGGCUUCUUCAAAAGCCAUGGACUUGACAGGUUUCUUCAAUAGCACAGCCAAAAGUGAAUGGACAAAGCAGAAUAUUAGAGUUACGAUCUACAACUGUUUUCAAAUCCUGAUUUGCAUUCUGUAUUAAGUGUUUCUGGGUUAGCAGGUGAAAUAACCGAUUAACUCUUUGUGGAAACUUUCUAAGACAAAACAUCCUUAUUGCAAACAGGAGAGCUUUCGGUCUUAGUGCUAUCCUGAAGUAUCUUGAAAGUCUGCUAACUUGAGAAAGACUUUGCUUCUGAGGACUUUAAGGAGAAAAUGAACCUGAUGUGUUGAUGUCAUUUCUAUAGCACUGUAGUUAGGUAGAUGACAGGGCUGGGCCUAGCAAAGGGUGGAUGUGAGAUGGAGAGGAGAUAGAUGCUAUGGAUCUGAGCAGCAUCCCUGACCAGCAGGGAACUCCUGAUGCUAUAGUGGGAAACAAGAAUGGUUCUAUAUGGCUAAUGCUUCCUGCUGAACUUUAUCCGCUUGAGAAAAAAAGGCAUAAAGAACCACAAGGCUUUGUCCAAUAAAAAAGAAAAUUCCCUAGGCUAUGGAAUGUGCUCCUCUCAUUUUCCGCCUAAUUUCAGAAGGGAUAGGUUUCUGGAUGCACUGCUGGGCUCCCAGCUCUCUUGCUGAAUGAAAGGACAGGCUGUCCUGGGGGGCAGCCCAGGUCUCGUCAGCCCAGAACAGGUAGAAGAGCCUUAGGGAAAAAUAUAUCAGAGCAAUGCAGCUGAAGAGAGGGACUCUCCCUUCUCGCUCCUGAGAACUCUUGCUAUCUCCUCGUCCUCCCCAGGGAAAGGCUGAAUUACUGUCCUUUGCUGACACUAAUCCCCGUACUGCAGACAGUUCACAUUUGAUGUUUCUACAUAUGUUGCGUAGAGCUCAUCAUACUACAUUUUCAGCAGGGCUUUCUAUACCAGAAACAGAGAAGGACAAAUGAUCUGCAGAACAGACACCUCUCCUGAACUAACACUGUUUUUAAUGUACACUAGAUCGCUUGUAACAGCUCUGCCACAGACACUUAAGAACACAGCGGUCUGUUGCCAGGCAGUCAGGACUUCCUGAGUGUGUAUAUUGCCUGCUAUGAUGCAUGCAAAAGUGCUGACAACCCUCUAGCAAUCCCAGCGGUGAUAGCUGAGGAGGAAAUCAGCAGACAAACUGUAUUGAAAGGGCAGCAUAUAGGGCACUAGAUUAGUACUGUGUUCAUGUGAGAUCAUCUUAUUCACAUUUGUUGAAUCCUAUGCUUCUCUUUGGGCAUCUUGUUGAGGGAGACCUGGACCCUGCCAGAGCCCAGUGUUCCCAGGUGAGCUGGCUGCACACCAGUCUUGUCUGUAACUGAUGCCAUGCUGAAAUGGGGGGAUGAGAGCAGAACUGGGGGAAGAUGUAAAGGCUUCAAAGUGUAAUCUCCUGAAACACAGCAUCUCCACAGAACCUAACAUCAGACUACUAGGAAGCGCAGAGAAUUUACCCAGAGAUUUGCUGUGGAGGCUGAGAGGACUGUAGCUGCCCAUUAAAGUAAUCUAGCAGAGAGCAUCUGCUCUGUCUCUACAGGCUUCCUCGCUCAGACUGGUGCUGUUUUGCCUCCUGGGAACCUUCCCUCAGUUACUUAGUGGGAUUGAUACUACCAUGCAUGUAGCAGGGCAGGAGAAUUCCCCUGACAGCACAACUGCUGUGUAGAGUUCAGUGGUGGGGGUAGUGCGGCGGUUUGACUGAGUGGUCUGAUCAGAACUGUCUCUCAUGGCUAUAACAUCUAUGAAUCUAAGUUGUCCGGACACGGAGGCACAGUUGUUUAUUCCAGGAGGUUAGCAACCACUGCUGGUAGGCAGUAGGCCGUUUUCAAAAGGUCAAAAGUAUAUCAAAUUCGGAACAAUCUCAACUCCAAUGUACUUCUCUGCAAUGACUUUUGCUCUGCUAAAACUCAAUUUUCUACCCCUCCUAGCAGCUGCAGCUCUAUAGCCUACAGAAGAGACUGCAGUCAUUGUUCAGAGGUUAUAAACAAGUGAAUACUAAUAGUUAUGCUGACAUGAACUCUGAGUUUUGCCUGUUUCAAAUCCUGGUUCAGUAAAACUUGAGCCAAUUCAAUUUCAGUAGGACUAAUUACGUGAUAAGAGUCAACUAGGUAAGCGAAGCACGUAUUAAACUUGGCCAAAGUACUGUCCUUUCAAUUACACUCACAACAGAGUCAAUUCAUUUCAGUCUUGCUCAGAUUCAAGAUGUGACUGGGUAUUAGUAGACGUAAAAAAGUCAAUGUUACUUUCUAUUUGUGCCUUCUCUGUAAACAGGGUUUUAUUUUCUAACUACUGUCAAAAUACUUUUCUCUUUAGCGGCUCAUGUGCUCAAGCAGGUUUGGCUAUAAGGAAAAAAGAGUCAAGUUACUGUGUAUAUAUGUGGUACACUUACCUGUGUUUGCAAUCCAGCAUGAAAUAAAAUCUGAGUGAGGAA